AUUGAACGCUGGCGGCAGGCCUAACACAUGCAAGUCGAGCGCGAAAGUUCUUCGGAAUGAGUGAAGCGGCGAACGGGUGAGUAAUACAUGGGAAUCUGCCUGGUAGUGGGGGACAACGUCUCGAAAGGGACGCUAAUACCGCAUACGCCCUACGGGGGAAAGGGGGGGAUCUUCGGACCUCUCGCUAUCAGAUGAGCCCAUGUCAGAUUAGCUAGUUGGUAGGGUAAAGGCCUACCAAGGCGACGAUCUGUAACUGGUCUGAGAGGAUGAUCAGUCACACUGGAACUGAGACACGGUCCAGACUCCUACGGGAGGCAGCAGUGGGGAAUAUUGGUCAAUGGGCGCAAGCCUGAUCCAGCCAUGCCGCGUGUGUGAAGAAGGCCCUAGGGUUGUAAAGCACUUUCAGUGGGGAGAAAGGUUAUUCACCUAAUACGUGAGUAAAUUGAUGCUACCCACAGAAGAAGCACCGGCUAACUCCGUGCCAGCAGCCGCCGUAACAC
rnacentral:rRNA from 1 species